UGGUAAUUUGACCAUGCUAAGGUAUUGAAAUAAGACUUUAAUUGAGUGCUAAGAGAAUGAAUAAAUGAUAAAUAACUUUUUUUAAAAAAAAAUUAAAAAUUUAAUUAAAAAUUAAAAUGUUUUUAUAAAAAAAUGGGACAAGAAGACCCUAAAAUUCUUAUAUUAUUAAUAAUUAUUAAAAUUAUUAAUAAUUUUAUUGGGGCGAUAGAAAAAUAAUAGGUAACUUUAUUAAGAAUUUUUAAUGAAAAAAAUUGUAAAGAUACUUUAGGGAUAACAGCGUUAUUAUUUUGGAUAGUUCAUAUAGAUAAAAUAGUUUGCGACCUCGAUGUUGAAUUAAUGAGUCUUUUAGUUGGAGAAGAUUAAAAAGAGAGAUUGUUCAUCUUUUAAAUCAUUA
rnacentral:rRNA from 1 species